GGCCUCAUAGCUCAGCCGUUAGAGCACUGGUCUUGUAAACCAGGCAUCGUGAGUUCAAUUCUCACUGGGGCCU